rnacentral:rRNA from 1 species
GAUGAACGCUGGCGGGGUGCCUAAUACAUGCAAGUCGAGCGAACGGACGAGAAGCUUGCUUCUCUGAUGUUAGCGGCGGACGGGUGAGUAACACGUGGAUAACCUACCUAUAAGACUGGGAUAACUUCGGGAAACCGUAGCUAAUACCGGAUAAUAUUUUGAACCGCAUGGUUCAAAAGUGAAAGACGGUCUUGCUGUCACUUAUAGAUGGAUCCGCGCUGCAUUAGCUAGUUGGUAAGGUAACGGCUUACCAAGGCAACGAUGCAUAGCCGACCUGAGAGGGUGAUCGGCCACACUGGAACUGAGACACGGUCCAGACUCCUACGGGAGGCAGCAGUAGGGAAUCUUCCGCAAUGGGCGAAAGCCUGACGGAGCAACGCUGCGUGAGUGAUGAAGGUCUUCGGAUCGUAAAACUCUGUUAUUAGGGAAGAACAUAUGUGUAAGUAACUGUGCACAUCUUGACGGUACCUAAUCAGAAAGCCACGGCUAACUACGUG